rnacentral:rRNA from 1 species
AACGAACGCUGGCGGCAUGCCUAACACAUGCAAGUCGAACGAGACCUUCGGGUCUAGUGGCGCACGGGUGCGUAACGCGUGGGAACCUGCCCUUAGGUUCGGAAUAACACCCCGAAAGGGGUGCUAAUACCGGAUGAUGUCUUCGGACCAAAGAUUUAUCGCCUUUGGAUGGGCCCGCGUUGGAUUAGCUGGUUGGUAGGGUAAAAGCCUACCAAGGCGACGAUCCAUAGCUGGUCUGAGAGGAUGAUCAGCCACACUGGGACUGAGACACGGCCCAGACUCCUACGGGAGGCAGCAGUGGGGAAUAUUGGACAAUGGGCGAAAGCCUGAUCCAGCAAUGCCGCGUGAGUGAUGAAGGCCUUAGGGUUGUAAAGCUCUUUUACCCGGGAUGGUAAUGACAGUACCGGGAGAAUAAGCUCCGGCUAACUCCGUG